AGGAGGGGUUUGGUGCUGGCCUUUUUCUUUAGGCAUGUGCACGCCUCUCCCUUGUCCGAUACAUUCACAACCAAUACACCUGUGCACCUAUGGGGAGCGCCUUCCAUUCUGGAGCCGUCCCGGCCUACUCUUUGUGGGCGGGGGCCGAGGCGCUCCUCCCCUUAACCUACACCGCAGCCUGUUUAUAACGCAUGUGUUACAGCCCCACGGGGUAUUAAAAGUACAACUUUCAACAACGGAUCUCUUGGCUUUCGCAUCGAUGAAGAACGCCGCGAAAGKGCGAAACGUAAUGUGAAUUGCAGAAUUCAGUGAAUCAUCGAAUCUUUGAACGCAUCUUGCGCCCCUUGGUAUUCCGAGGGGCAUGCCUGUUUGAGUGUCGUGUGCCCUCUCAACCCAUCCCUCUUAGGGUCGGGUUUGGAUCUGGACGUCUGCGGCGGGUUUGCCCCGUCGCUCGUCUUCAAAAGCAUCAGCUGGUCCCNCGAGUUGGUUCAANGACGGUGUGAUNACAAACGCUUUGUUGACCGUAGCNCCGUCCGGUGCCGGCUCCAAGGGGGGUUNGCUUACANCCGUCCGUCUUUGGACNAAAAAAAAACACCCAUGACAUCUGACCUCAAAUCAGGUAGGACUACCCGCUGAACUUAAGCAUAUCAAUAAGCGGAGGAAAAGAAACUAACAAGGAUUCCCCUAGUAACGGCGAGNGAAGCGGGAAGAGCUCAAAUUNGUAAUCUGGCGGCC
rnacentral:rRNA from 1 species